rnacentral:rRNA from 1 species
AGUGAACGCUGGCGGUAGGCCUAACACAUGCAAGUCGAACGGCAGCACAGUAAGAGCUUGCUCUUACGGGUGGCGAGUGGCGGGCGGGUGAGGAGUACAUCGGAAUCUACUUUUUCGUGGGGGAUAACGUAGGGAAACUUACGCUAAUACCGCAUACGACCUACGGGUGAAAGCAGGGGAUCUUCGGACCUUGCGCGGUUGAAUGAGCCGAUGUCGGAUUAGCUAGUUGGCGGGGUAAAGGCCCACCAAGGCGACGAUCCGUAGCUGGUCUGAGAGGAUGAUCAGCCACACUGGAACUGAGACACGGUCCAGACUCCUACGGGAGGCAGCAGUGGGGAAUAUUGGACAAUGGGCGCAAGCCUGAUCCAGCCAUACCGCGUGGGUGAAGAAGGCCUUCGGGUUGUAAAGCCCUUUUGUUGGGAAAGAAAAGCAGCAGGUUAAUACCCCGCUGUUCUGACGGUACCCAAAGAAUAAGCACCGGCUAACUUCGUG